GAUGAACGCUAGCUACAGGCUUAACACAUGCAAGUCGAGGGGAAACGACAUCGAAAGCUUGCUUUUGAUGGGCGUCGACCGGCGCACGGGUGAGUAACGCGUAUCCAACCUGCCCAUCACUUGGGGAUAACCUUGCGAAAGUAAGACUAAUACCCAAUGAUAUCUCUAGAAGACAUCUGAAAGAGAUUAAAGAUUUAUCGGUGAUGGAUGGGGAUGCGUCUGAUUAGCUUGUUGGCGGGGUAACGGCCCACCAAGGCAACGAUCAGUAGGGGUUCUGAGAGGAAGGGCCCCCACAUUGGAACUGAGACACGGUCCAAACUCCUACGGGAGGCAGCAGUGAGGAAUAUUGGUCAAUGGGCGAGAGCCUGAACCAGCCAAGUAGCGUGCAGGAAGACGGCCCUAUGGGUUGUAAACUGCUUUUAUAAGGGAAUAAAGUGAGAGUCGUGACUCUUUUUGUAUGUACCUUAUGAAUAAGGACCGGCUAAUUCCGUG
rnacentral:rRNA from 1 species